GUGCCAGCAGCCGCGGUAAUACGUAGGGGGCGAGCGUUGUCCGGAAUUACUGGGCGUAAAGGGCGUGUAGGCGGCCUGUUAAGUCAGGUGUGAAAAUUCAGGGCUCAACCCUGAACCUGCGUUUGAAACUGGCAGGCUAGAGGACAGGAGAGGGAAGUGGAAUUCCCGGUGUGGCGGUGAAAUGCGUAGAUAUCGGGAGGAACACCAGUGGCGAAGGCGGCUUCCUGGACUGUACCUGACGCUGAGGCGCGAAAGCUAGGGGAGCAAACAGGAUUAGAUACCCUGGUAGUCCUAGCUGUAAACGAUGAGUGCUAGGUGUGGGAGGUUGAAAUCCUUCCGUGCCGCAGUUAACACAAUAAGCACUCCGCCUGGGGAGUACGGCCGCAAGGCUAAAACUUAAAUGAAUAGACGGGG
rnacentral:rRNA from 1 species